AGUCGAGCGGAUGAUGGGAGCUUGCUCCUUGAUUCAGCGGCGGACGGGUGAGUAAUGCCUAGGAAUCUGCCUGGUAGUGGGGGACAACGUUUCGAAAGGAACGCUAAUACCGCAUACGUCCUACGGGAGAAAGCAGGGGACCUUCGGGCCUUGCGCUAUCAGAUGAGCCUAGGUCGGAUUAGCUUGUUGGUGAGGUAAUGGCUCACCAAGGCGACGAUCCGUAACUGGUCUGAGAGGAUGAUCAGUCACACUGGAACUGAGACACGGUCCAGACUCCUACGGGAGGCAGCAGUGGGGAAUAUUGGACAAUGGGCGAAAGCCUGAUCCAGCCAUGCCGCGUGUGUGAAGAAGGUCUUCGGAUUGUAAAGCACUUUAAGUUGGGAGGAAGGGUUGUAGAUUAAUACUCUGCAAUUUUGACGUUACCGACAGAAUAAGCACCGGCUAACUCUGUGCCAGCAGCCGCGGUAAUACAGAGGGUGCAAGCGUUAAUCGGAAUUACUGGGCGUAAAGCGCGCGUAGGUGGUUUGUUAAGUUGGAUGUGAAAGCCCCGGGCUCAACCUGGGAACUGCAUCCAAAACUGGCAAGCUAGAGUACGGUAGAGGGUGGUGGAAUUUCCUGUGUAGCGGUGAAAUGCGUAGAUAUAGGAAGGAACACCAGUGGCGAAGGCGACCACCUGGACUGAUACUGACACUGAGGUGCGAAAGCGUGGGGAGCAAACAGGAUUAGAUACCCUGGUAGUCCACGCCGUAAACGAUGUCAACUAGCCGUUGGAAUCCUUGAGAUUUUAGUGGCGCAGCUAACGCAUUAAGUUGACCGCCUGGGGAGUACGGCCGCAAGGUUAAAACUCAAAUGAAUUGAC
rnacentral:rRNA from 1 species